rnacentral:piRNA from 2 species
GGAGUUCUGGGCUGUAGUGCGCUAUGCCA